rnacentral:lncRNA from 1 species
UUGACUGAACUGUUAGAUAUAAGUUCAAAGAUUUGUGUUAUGUUUCAUCACGCAUGUUAAUUACAUGCUCUAUCUGAAAAAUGUGACGCAGAUAACAAAGAAUGAGAUAUAAUAAAUGAGUGACUUCACCAUUCCGAACUGCUCUUUCGUAUCUAUGAAGCGUAGAGUACUAAGAGCAACUUCAAAGGGACGAUCCAAAUGACGGUGAUUUUGUUCGCUUUUCGUCCGUUUGGGUC